rnacentral:misc_RNA from 1 species
GAUGAAGAACGCAGCGAAAUGCGAUAAGUAAUGCGAAUUGCAGAAUUCCAGUGAGUCAUCGAAUCUUUGAACGCACAUUGCGCCCCUUGGUAUUCCGAGGGGCAUGCCUGUUCGAGCGUCAUUAUAACCCCUCAAGCUCAGCUUGGUGUUGGGGCCUGCUGCACUGGCAGCCCUUAAAAUCAGUGGCGGCGCCAUCUGGCUCUAAGCGUAGUAAUUCUUCUCGCUAUGGAGUCCUGGUGGAUGCUUGCCAUCAACCCCCAAUUUUUCUAUGGUUGACCUCGCAUCAGGUAGGGAUACCCGCUGAACUUAAGCAUAUCAAUAAGCGGAGGA